rnacentral:sRNA from 1 species
CACCGCCUGGGGAGUACGACCGCAAGGUUAAAACUCAAAUGAAUUGACGGGGACCCGCACAAGUAGUGGAGCAUGUGGUUUAAUUCGAAGAUACGCGCAGAACCUUACCAACACUUGACAUGUUUGUCGCGAAACUAAGAGAUUAGUUUCUUCGGUUCGGCCGGACAAAACACAGGUGCUGCAUGGCUGUCGUCAGCUCGUGUCGUGAGAUGUUGGGUUAAGUCCCGCAACGAGCGCAACCCUUACUUUUAGUUGCUAUUAUUUAGUUAAGAACUCUAAAAGAACUGCCAGUGAUAAGCUGGAGGAAGGCGGGGAUGACGUCAAGUCCUCAUGGCCCUUACGUGUUGGGCUACACACGUGCUACAAUGGCACUUACAAAGGGAAGCAAAGAGGCGACUCUUAGCAAAUCCUUAAAAAGUGUCUCAGUUCGGAUUGCACUCUGCAACUCGAGUGCAUGAAGCUGGAAUUACUAGUAAUCGCGGAUCAGCGCGCCGCGGUGAAUACGUUCCCGGGUCUUGUACACACCGCCCGUCACACCAUGGGAGUUGGUUUCACCUUAAGGCAAAUAGUUAACCUUCGGGAGACAUUUGACUACGGUAUAAUCAGCAACUGGGGUGAAGUCGUAACAAGGUAGCCGUAGGGGAACCUGCGGCUGGAUCACCUCCUUUCUAAGGAAAUCGAAAGUUUUACUUUCGAUUUAAAAAAAACGGUAAUGUGACCGUCCUCAUUUCUCUUCUUUAAUGUCUCUGUAAAUGCAUAGGGGCCGGUAGCUCAGGUGGUUAGAGCGCACCCCUGAUAAGGGUGAGGUCGGACGUUCGAGUCUUUCUCGGCCCACCAAAUUAAACUGGGGGAUUAGCUCAGCUGGGAGAGCGCCUGAUUUGCAUUCAGGAGGUCAGCGGUUCGAUCCCGCUAUCCUCCACCAAGAAACACUUAGUUAUUUUAUUUGUGAAAAGUUAAUAUUAUCAAUAUCUAUAUCCGAUUGUUCGAAUAGAUGAACAAUCAUGAAUGUUCGAAUAGAUGAACAUUCCAACAAAAUUUGAUUCAACACAGAAUUUUUUUCUG